rnacentral:rRNA from 1 species
CAGCAGUAGCCGCGGUAAUACGUAGGUGGCGAGCGUUGUCCGGAUUUAUUGGGCGUAAAGGGAGUGUAGGCGGUCUUUUAAGUCUGAUGUGAAAGCCCACGGCUCAACCGUGGAGGGUCAUUGGGAACUGGGAGACUUGAGUGCAGAAGAGGAGAGCGGAAUUCCAUGUGUAGCGGUGAAAUGCGUAGAUAUAUGGAGGAACACCAGUGGCGAAGGCGGCUCUCUGGUCUGUAACUGACGCUGAGGCUCGAAAGCGUGGGGAGCAAACAGGAUUAGAUACCCCGGUAGUCCCUGUCUCUUAUAC